AGACAGUUCGGUCCCUAUCCGUCGCGGGCGUUGGAAAUUUGAGAGGAGCUGUCCUUAGUACGAGAGGACCGGGAUGGACUUACCGCUGGUGUACCAGUUGUUCUGCCAAGGGCAUUGCUGGGUAGCUAUGUAGGGAAGGGAUAAACGCUGAAAGCAUCUAAGUGUGAAGCCCACCUCAAGAUGAGAUUUCCCAUUUCUUUAAGAAAGUAAGAUCCCUGAGAGAUGAUCAGGUAGAUAGGUCAGGAGUGGAAGUACAGUGAUGUAUGGAGCGGACUGAUACUAAUCGAUCGAGGACUUA
rnacentral:rRNA from 1 species